UACAGAGGCCCCAAGCGUUACCCGGAAUCAUUGGGCGUAAAGGGUGUGUAGGUGGUCGUCUUAGUCGCCUGUUAAAGACCGGGGCUCAACCCCGGAAAUGCGGGCGAAACGGUACGACUAGAGGGUGUGAGAGGUCUGUAGAACUCAAGGUGUAGGGGUGAAAUCCGUUGAUAUCUUGGGGAAUACCGAAAGCGAAGGCAGCAGACUGGCGCAUUCCUGACACUGAGACACGAAGGCGUGGGUAGCGAACAGG
rnacentral:misc_RNA from 1 species